UACGUAGGGGGCAAGCGUUGUCCGGAAUCAUUGGGCGUAAAGCGCGUGUAGGCGGCCCGAUAAGUCCGCUGUGAAAGUCCAGGGCUCAACCCUGGGAUGCCGGUGGAUACUGUCGGGCUCGAGUCCGGAAGAGGAGUGUGGAAUUCCUGGUGUAGCGGUGAAAUGCGCAGAUAUCAGGAAGAACACCAAUGGCGAAAGCAGCUCUCUGGGACGGUACUGACGCUGAGACGCGAAAGCGUGGGGAGCGAACAGG
rnacentral:rRNA from 1 species